UGGCCAGUUGUUCCUGUAACCUGCUUUGAGUCCUGACUGGUGUUGGGAUGGAAGGGAGGUGAAGUCAGGAGCAGGAAGAUGCACAGCAGGAUUUCUCUGGUGUGGCUGCAGAGAAUUGUGCUUCUGGUACCUAGAUGUUGUAUCAACAUUGAUGUAGGACUGACAGUUCUUUGUCCAAGUGGGAGGCCUCAUGUUUACCUGAGCUGGGUAAAACCACCAAGAAGCAGCAGAGAACCUGUUCUCAUACAUGAGGGACUCGUGCAGCCAUGGCAGCAGCGAGGGACCAGCCUCAGUAGCCUUGUGGAGAAUAUUUCCAUGCUGAUGACAUGUUUAC
rnacentral:lncRNA from 1 species